GGCUCCUCGAGCACCAUGGGGGGUCGUGCCUUCCCGGUGAGCUUACGAGCUUAAACGGACGCGGUAAAUCGUGCUAAGGUAGCUAAAUUAUGGCCUGUUAAUUGCAGGUCCUGUGAAUGGUUUGACGAGUGCCCGACUGUCUCUGGUUUGUUUUGGUGAACUUGAAUUGGAUGUGCAAAUGCUUCCGUGAGGGAGAAAGACGAGAAGACCCCGUGAAGUUAAAAAUUUAAUCCACAUGCGUUAGACCUCCAGACUGAAAGGUUAAAAUUGAGUGAGGCUCGCGGUUAGCGGGGGAGUGUGGUAGCAGUUUUGGCUGGGGCAGCAAAGGAGCAAAACUAGACUCCGAUUGGAUGAGAAGCGGGUGCGCAACGACCCACACCGAGUUACAGGUGUGAUUAGCAGAAUAAGUUACUCCGGGGAUAACAGCGUUAUCCGCCCUGACAGUCCUUAUAGAUGGGUGGGUUUGCGACCUCGAUGUUGGCUCUGGGUAUCCUUAGGCUUGCAGGUGGUCUUUAAGGUUGGUUCGUUCGCCCAUUAAAACCCG
rnacentral:rRNA from 1 species